UGUUAAACCGACUAACACCCACACAAAACUUAUCCACUUUCUGAGAAGAUUUUCUUCACAAAGAAACCUUAUUACUUCCAUCUCCAUGAUGCAUGUUUCGUGAAUCACGAUGUAAAGCAAACUUAUAGAUAUAGAUACAAGAAAGGGUUCUUGCAAAGUUAACUUACCAUAACCUAGUAAGAUUGAAGUCAUGGAAGCCAAAAUGGCAGCGCCGGAGGCAUACAGAUUUCUUUUUGGUUUCUUUUGGGGAUCAAAAUCCGCAAGAGUUUUUUGGUUUUGAGGGUCAGUAUUGUUGUUGCUCUUGGCUCCCAAGCCUGCAGCCAUGUUGUUGCUAAGCUAGCUAGCCAGAGAGCGAGAGAGAGAGACUGCGAGUGUUUAAUUAUAUAAGCUAGGGUUUGGAAGAAGAGAUAGAAACUCAAGCUGCCAUGAAACUACUACAAAAACAAGAAGCCUUGUGUGUGAAGUGUAUGUUUAAUUUGCUGGACAGUUUAGGUUAUAAGCUUAUUAUAUAGAGCGAAGCUUACAUCAUUGCUUGGACCAAAGAGUCCAAAUAAAAGAGAAGUUAAUUAUUAUUUGAUUAUUUGUCCUUGUUUCAUUUUCACUCAUUGGUAAAGCCAUGUGAAUCUUUAACCCUGUUGGGUAAAAUAGGAUAGAAGUGUCAAUCUUGCUGUGCAUAUGUGAUAUAUAAAAACUGAAACCAAUGUGCUGUUUUUUUUCU
rnacentral:lncRNA from 1 species